GGGGCCGAGCGCCUGAGGCCCGCCCCGCCGGGCCGCGGCCCACUCACCGCCCACGUUGUUCCGGUAGGUGUUGUACAUCUCCUUCACCCGCCGGUAGCGGAAGGCCAGCUUCCUCAUCCAGUCCACGCCGCCGUGGACGCCCGAGCCCAGGCACAGGUUGGCUCCCGGGGCCGAGCUGUGGAAGCCGUCGGCCGAGAAGUUAGUUCGAGGCUAGAAGGGAAUUCCGAGCAACGGUUGCCGCUGCCUCAUCCUGACAGAAGGGUCCAGAAGGGUCCAUCCUGACAGAAGGGCCCGGACGCGGGGUCGGUCCCGCCACUCCCAUCCCCAGAUCUGCGCUGCUCCGCGCCCCCGGAGGAGGCAGAGGCGAUCGCUGGUGCCUUCUUUGCAGAUACAGCCGCCGGCUGGGAGCCUAGCACGCUGGCCCUACGAGGUCCCAGAGCGGGCUGGGGACGAGUGAGUCGCACAAAACUGGUGACAGAGGUGGCAGCUGGGAACCCGAACAGGAAUGUGUGGGCGACUCGCCACCUACAGCGACCAGCACGUGAGAAUGAAAAUCCCCACGCCAGAGAAGACCCCCGUCUUCUCUCCCGCUGCCAGAAACUCUGCAAAAUCACAAGGUCUCAGGGGGAAAACCAGAGAGCGACGAGGGGUAAAGGGAUAAUAUGACCCAAAGUUUAAAAUAACGAGUCUCUUCCUUGGGGCGCCCGGGGAACCCAGCCAGUUAAGCAUCAGGCUCUUGACUUUGGCUCAGGUCAUGCUCUCUCAUGAGACGGAGCCCGACAUGGGACGCUGCACUGGGCGUGGAGCCUGCUUCAGACUCUCCGUCUCCCUCCCUGUGUCCCCUUCCCCUCCCCCCUGCCGUUGAGUCUCUUCCUAGAAAAGUGGAGCAGAAGGAAACAGGUCAGUGUGGUUCUAUGGCUGUCUCAGGGCGUGACUUUGAUUUUUUUCCCUCUUUGAGUAUUUUGUGGUUUCUAGGUUUUCUAGGAUGAGCUGAAGAGUGGACACAGAAAGACGUUUUAUCUAUUUUUUUUUACAAAGAUGCGCUGCCACGAAAAUGAAGCAGCACUUGGAAAUUGCAUCUUCUGUACCUCCCCUACUUCAGUGCCCCUGCUGCUGCCGAGAUAAGGGCAUCUGGGAAGCGUGAGGUGCUGGGUCAUGCUCCCUGCAGGGUGUGCGCUGUGUCCAGCACCGGAAGACGGCGUGAUGUGACAUGCUGCUGUCACGUACCAUCUGGGGGUGGGAGCUUGGGCCUCAGCCUUACUGGAACAGAGGCCAGGCUUUGCUCCUGGAUAUAAAACUCUUCCCAAGGAAGAGCCUUUGUGGUGACAAAAAAAACUCUGCAGGAGCCAGAAAAUGUCUCAGACUCAACAGUGAAUUUCACCUUGCGGGGUUUCUGGGGCCAUGCAGGCCAGGGGGACACUGGCCCUGGGACUUGAUCCUCCAGGCUUCAGCUGUAGACUCUGGUGCGAAUGGAGAGACACCAAUAGGCUUCUCCUCUAGAUAUCUUUAAAUUCUUGCCCACGGGUACACACACACACACACACACACACACCCAACAUACUCAUGUUCACCUCUGUCAUUUUUCAUAGACUUCUGUGAGGGUAAGUGUAUAUAAAAUUGGAAGUAAGGGGCGCCUGGGUGGUGCAGUGAUUGAGCAUCUGCCUUUGGCUCAGGUCGUGGUCCUGGGGUCCUGGAAUCCUGGAAUCCAGUCCUGCAUUGGGCUCCCCGCAGGGAGCCUGCUUCUCCCUCUGCCUGUGUCUCUGCCUCUCUCUGUGUCUCUCAUGAAUAAAUAAAUAAAAUCUUAAAAAAAUAAAAGUGGAAGCCAG